UGAGCAAUCUGCCCUUCACAUCGGAAUAACCAUUGGAAACGAUGGCUAAUACCGAAUAUGACUUCGGAUCGCAUGAUCGGAGGUGGAAAGCUCCGGCGGAGAAGGAUGAGCUCGCGGCCUAUCAGCUAGUUGGUGUGGGUAAUGGCCCACAAGGCGACGACGGGUAGCCGGCCUGAGAGGGUGACCGGCCACACGUGGGACUGAGACACCGGCCCAGACCUCGUACGGGGA
rnacentral:rRNA from 1 species